rnacentral:rRNA from 1 species
GAUGAACGCUGGCGGCGUGCCUAAUACAUGCAAGUCGAGCGAACGGACGAGAAGCUUGCUUCUCUGAUGUUAGCGGCGGACGGGUGAGUAACACGUGGAUAACCUACCUAUAAGACUGGGAUAACUUCGGGAAACCGGAGCUAAUACCGGAUAAUAUUUUGAACCGCAUGGUUCAAAAGUGAAAGACGGUCUUGCUGUCACUUAUAGAUGGAUCCGCGCUGCAUUAGCUAGUUGGUAGGUAACGGCUUACCAAGGCAACGAUGCAUAGCCGACCCGAGAGGGUGAUCGGCCACACUGGAACUGAGACACGGUCCAGACUCCUACGGGAGGCAGCAGUAGGGAAUCUUCCGCAAUGGGCGAAAGCCUGACGGAGCAACGCCGCGUGAGUGAUGAAGGUCUUCGGAUCGUAAAACUCUGUUAUUAGGGAAGAACAUAUGUGUAAGUAACUGUGCACAUCUUGACGGUACCUAAUCAGAAAGCCACGGCUAACUACGUG